GGAGAGGUGCUGGAGUGGUCGAACAGGCCGGUCUCGAAAACCGGUGUACCCUCACGGGUACCGUGGGUUCGAAUCCCACCCUCUCCGCCA
rnacentral:tRNA from 2 species